rnacentral:rRNA from 1 species
UACGGGGGGGGCAAGCGUUGUUCGGAAUUACUGGGCGUAAAGGGCUCGUAGGUGGCCAACUAAGUCAGACGUGAAAUCCCUCGGCUUAACCGGGGAACUGCGUCUGAUACUGGAUGGCUUGAGUUUGGGAGAGGGACGCGGAAUUCCAGGUGUAGCGGUGAAAUGCGUAGAUAUCAGGAGGAACACCGAUGGCGAAGGCAGGUCUCUGGGCCGCAACUGACGCUGAGGAGCGAAAGCAUGGGGAGCGAACAGG